rnacentral:rRNA from 1 species
CAUGUGGUUUAAUUCGACGCAAAAGCGAAAAACCUCACCCAAGGUUUGACAUACCAAUCGUAUCCCUAAGAAACUAGGGAGUCAGUUCGGCUGGAUUGGAUACAGGUGUUGCAUGGCUGUCGUCAGCUCGUGUCGUGAGAUGUCGGGUUAAGUCCUUUAACGAGCGCAACCCUCAUUGCAUGUUAAUUUUUCAUGCGAGACUGCCCUGGUUAACAGGGAGGAAGGUGGGGAUGACGUCAAGUCAGCAUGGCCCUUACACCUUGGGCUACACACGUGUUACAAUGGCCGGUACAAUAAGUCGCAAUACCGCAAGGUGGAGCUAAUCUAUGAAAACCGGUCCCAGUUCGGAUUGGGGGCUGAAACUCGCCCCCAUGAAGUUGGAAUCGCUAGUAACCGUGAAUCAGCACGUCACGGUGAAUACGUUCCCGGGUCUU